rnacentral:lncRNA from 1 species
AAAAAUUUCCCAUUGCUGGUUUUCCCAUUUUCUUUCUGACCUUCCCACCUAUCAGUCUUUGUUCCCCCAUCCUUGACCCUCUUCUCCAUGUGGAUACCAUUGAUACAUUUUUAGGUUUGAAUGUCACCUUCCUUUUAUAAUGUUCCAUACCUUUAAGCAUUUGAUAAAAGCUAUGGUGGUUUCCCCAGAAAAAUGUUCAACAGGAAGUUUUGCCUACAUUUUUGGAUUCACAGACCUCAGUUCCUAUGGCAGUGUUCAUAUAUGUAAGUUCAGCUGUCACCUGUUUACAACUCAAAUCCAAUGGCUACCAGUUUUCCCACUGGACCUCUCUGGAUUUAGCAAUCUCUAGAAUUGUAUUCACUUGAUUCUAAAAAAAUAAAAAAUAAAAAAUAAACUUAAAUGCAGAUAGGAUGUCACCUCUGUUUAAAAUUUCUAGUGGCUGCUCUGGUCAUCAGUUUAAUAAAAAUUCCUUAGCAUGACCAAGAAGGCUCUUCACUACUUAAAAAUAAAGGCCGGGCACGUGGCUCAUGCCUGUAAUCCCAGCAUUCUGGAAGGCCAAGGCAGUAGGAUCACUUGAGCCCAGGAAUUCGAAACCAGCCUGGACUACAUAGUGAGACUCCAUUUCUACUAAAAAAAUUAAUGGCUCAUCAUAAUCUCCUAUUCAAAACUACUGAGUUUUAACCAUAAGAAGUCAAUUUUUGAAAACACAAAGUGUUUCAAGCCUUUACAUUUGCUGUUCAUUUUCCAAAGAUAUCCUUUCCAUCAGUAUGGACUCCACUCCUGGUUAUCCUCCAAGACUCAAAUAUCACCAUUUUUGUAGUAUCUUCCUUAAGCCACCUUCCAGUAGCUUGGUGUGCUUAUUUCUAUCCUAAUAAUUUGGGGGUAUCUUUUAAAAUUGCAGAAAUUGUAUAGAAUUAGAGGAAACAAAGCCACGUUCAAAUUCUUAUAAAAAUUUUAAAGUGAGUGGCUUAAUUUCAUCUGUAAACUGGGGACACCAUCUACCAUGUAGUUAUUAGAUGUGAAUACCAGAGAAAAUACAUGUAGAAAGUGCUAGUGCCUGCCACAUAUUAUGUGCUCAAUAAAACUCAGUGUUUCAUAUGCCUAUCUCCAAUAAAUGGCAGAAAAGACUAACCUGUCUCAAGAGUGCCUGGCUCAUAGCAAGUACCAUGUUCAUGUUUUAAAAAACAGAUGAAAGACAACAAGAAAGUCACAUUCUAAAGCUUUUCAAGAAAUAAAGAAAUACAAACAAAGUUUCUUCAUCAUUCUAUUUAUUACAUGUAUGAAUAUUAACAUCUCAUGGUGUCCAUCUAAGUCAAAACCAACAAAAGAAAAAAGUUAACCAUAUCUCAAGCAAACAUUCUUACAGAUUCCCGUUACUUAAAAUAGAAAUAUGUUCAUCUGCAUUAAAUCAUUUGACAAUUUGAAAAAGUCUUUAAAAAAAAAUCACCUUUAGUACUUAAAUAUAUUUGUUAAUUGUUUGAUGGCAUCAGUGUCCAAGUUCAAGAAUAAAACUUGCUUCAUUA